rnacentral:rRNA from 1 species
CAGUAGCCACGGUAAUACAGAGGGUGCGAGCGUUAAUCGGAUUUACUGGGCGUAAAGCGUGCGUAGGCGGCUUCUUAAGUCGGAUGUGAAAUCCCUGAGCUUAACUUAGGAAUUGCAUUCGAUACUUGGAAGCUAGAGUAUGGGAGAGGAUGGUAGAAUUCCAGGUGUAGCGGUGAAAUGCGUAGAGAUCUGGAGGAAUACCGAUGGCGAAGGCAGCCAUCUGGCCUAAUACUUACGCUGAGGUACGAAAGCAUGGGGAGCAAACAGGAUUAGAUACCCCCGUAGUCCCUGUCUCUUAUAA